rnacentral:rRNA from 1 species
GACGAACGCUGGCGGCGUGCUUAACACAUGCAAGUCGAACGAUGAAGCCCAGCUUGCUGGGUGGAUUAGUGGCGAACGGGUGAGUAACACGUGAGCAACGUGCCCGAGACUCUGGAAUAACUACCGGAAACGGUGGCUAUAACUGGAGAUGUGCCAGGGAGCCAUCUCCUCUGGUUGGAAAGAUUUUUCGGUUUCGGAUGGGCUCACGGCCUAUCAGCUUGUUGGUGGGGUAAUGGCCUACCAAGGCGACGACGGGUAGCCGGCCUGAGAGGGUGACCGGCCACACUGGGACUGAGACACGGCCCAGACUCCUACGGGAGGCAGCAGUGGGGAAUAUUGCACAAUGGGCGCAAGCCUGAUGCAGCAACGCCGCGUGAGGGAUGACGGCCUUCGGGUUGUAAACCUCUUUUAGUAGGGAAGAAGCGCAAGUGACGGUACCUGCAGAAAAAGCACCGGCUAACUACGUG